UAUUCCUUGCAUUUUUGUCUAUAUCCUUCACCCUUUUCUCGAUUUACGUUUAUGGUUUUUCUUUUUACACUUUAUUUUUUUCAUAAAUGCAUGAAAAUAUAUUCACGCAUGUAUUAAGUUUUUUUUAAAAAAAUACAUGAAUUUUGUAACACAUGAUAUAGUUUUCGCAUACAUCAAAAUUUGUUAAGUAGGCGAUGAGGAUUUCUUUUUAUUUCACAUGUAUGAACCAUAUGUGUACAUACACAGACCUUUUCUUUAUUUUCUUUUUGUAAAUACAAUUAUUAGAACCUGUUAACCGAAAUGCUUCUUUCUACCCUCACAAAAUAAUGCUUCUUUCAAAAGUACUUUUUAUAAAAAUCGAGGAAGUAAAUGGGGUGUUCCAUGGCCGGUUCAUACAAGGUCCUUCAGUCGUCAUUUCCUCGACUAAAUCAGGAGGUCUCAAAAAAUGGGAAGAUGUAGCACAAUAUAUGGUUGAUUGUUUGAGUUGGGCCUUUUGCUGAAACCAAAGCUCGGUUUCUACUGGCCCUUAUUGAUUUUUUUUUCUUAUCUAGGGGGUGGCGAUUUUCUUUGCUUCACAGAUCGCGGCCGUCCGCAUCUCCUGGUCUGCAUCGAUGAUUUCCAUUCGUAAUGUUUUUUUUUUUUGGCGGAUCAGUGGUGAAUUCGAGGGCUUCUACGCCCAAGGGCAGGAUUGGACCAGGCCGCUGGAGACCCAGAGGCUGAGGCGAUUGCGAGGCGCGACCUGAGACCCCAGGCGACGUCGAAGACGCACGCUCCGGCGAUCUUUCAGCCGACUCAACCACCGCGAUCUUCGGCCGUCCAGAGCAAUACAAGCGCGGCGUUGGCGAUGCUCCGAUCGGCCACUGGGGUCGCGCUCCGGCGGCAGGCGCCGGCCCGUCGGUUCUCCGGCAGCAGCGGAUGCAGCCGCACCACCAGGGAGAGGGCCUGAGCUGCUGUUUGGCUGCAUCGCCCUUACCAUGAUGGUCACAUACAAGUACAAUGUGACAGGGAAGGGAAUACUGGGAUACAGAUUCGACGAGGCGAGGAAGGAGCAGGAGGCCAGGGAGCGGCAGGAGGAGGCGAGGAAGAACAAUAUUGAUAUUUCUCUCUGCUAGCUGAUCUCUUUGCACACACCCCCAAACAUAUGGGCCAUAAUAUGGCAGUUAUUACCUUGGGAACAUCGGGAAGGCCAGGGUCACAAACUGCCUAUCAUAAGGCUUGCCA